AAUGGCAAGUGGGGUCGACAUGCUUCUCGAUGCCAUUUAGACAGAAUUUAGCUUCUGUCUGAUGUUGUCUUUAUUAUCUCCUUAUGAACUAAAAGAAUUUUGUGUUGAACAUCCGAAAAAUGUAUCCAGGAUCAAAGACCUGAGAAAUUGUUUCUAGAUGCCAUAUCUUAACAUUGCUCCCACUCCUUUAACUCAUUUUAAUGGGUUAAAGAAUUAGGGCGUGUUGAAAGCCAGAAGCAUGGCACUACCUCCUCUAAGUUCACGCCCUACACCAAGAAAUUGAGUUAAAUAACAAAGAAAAUCUUAAUUAUUUGUCUACUAACAUCGGGAAGCAUGGCGCUACCUCCUCCAAGUUCACGCCCUACUCCUUCAACCAAUUAAAAUGAGUUAAAAGAAGUGGGGGGCAAUGUAAGGAUAUAUAUUGGCAUCCAGAGUAUUUCUCGGGUCUUUGAUCUCGAAUACACUUUUGGGGUCUUCAGCACAAAAUCCAUUUGGUUCAUAAGGAGAUGAUAAAGACACGUCAC
rnacentral:lncRNA from 1 species